rnacentral:rRNA from 1 species
CACGUAGGGCGCAAGCGUUGUCCGGAAUUAUUGGGCGUAAAGAGCUCGUAGGCGGUCUGUCGCGUCUGCUGUGAAAAUCCAGGGCUCAACCCUGGACCUGCAGUGGGUACGGGCAGACUAGAGUGCGGUAGGGGAGAUCGGAAUUCCUGGUGUAGCGGUGAAAUGCGCAGAUAUCAGGAGGAACACCGAUGGCGAAGGCAGGUCUCUGGGCCACUACUGACGCUGAGAAGCGAAAGCAUGGGGAGCGAACAGG